GCAAGGGACAGGGAGGGUCGUGGCGACACUCGCGCCAGCUCCCGGGACGGCUGGGCUCGGGCUGGUCGCCGACCUCCGACCCUCCACUAGAUGCCUGGC
ensembl:miRNA MIR7845 microRNA 7845